UAACGCGUGAGUAACCUGCCUUCAANAGGGGGAUAACAUUCUGAAAAGAAUGCUAAUACCGCAUGACAUAUCGGAACCACAUGGUUUUGAUAUCAAAGAUUUUAUCGCUUGAAGAUGGACUCGCGUCCGAUUAGUUAGUUGGUGAGGUAACGGCUCACCAAGACCGCAAUCGGUAGCCGGACUGAGAGGUUGAACGGCCACAUUGGGACUGAGACACGGCCCAGACUCCUACGGGAGGCAGCAUG
rnacentral:rRNA from 1 species